UGUAUAUUGCCAUGCUAGCUUGUGCUCGCCCCUUCAAUGUUCUACAUUCGCCUAGUUACAUCAAAGGUCAACCGUGUCAUACCUCCUCUAGCUCUAGCUGCUGUGGAACUAUACGCGUCGACUCCGUUUACGUCUGUGUACUUUCCGUAUCACUCGUUCCGCAUUCUUCGUAGCGUUCCGCACGUUCCGCAUUUUAGCAUAGAUUGUAUUACUAAGUAACAGGGAUUGGAAACUGAUGACGUCACACGGACAGACUCUGUAAUGGUGGAAAAGCAAUGGAAAGACUACACAAGCUCUUCUCCUAGUCUCCAACUGUAUUAAUUUGAAUUUUAUUUACUAUCGAUGAUGAACAGAUAGGUCUUGAGAGUUCAUGACUGUUCUUUGUGACGGUUAAGCAUAGUUUUGUUGACAGAAUCUUCGCCGCCUCUCGCGGCCCAUGUUAUCAUUGAAAUUGCCUUUGUGAUGGCACAAAUUAACGAAUACAGCUAUUAUUUUUCCAAAGUGCCGUCUAUGGCUUAUAUAAUAGGCUAAAGGCAUGUGAAAAACCCUGAUCUUUGUUACAGUUUUUGUCCUUUAUCCUAAUUUUACUUACUUUUUGUGAUAUAGGUUGAACAGAUACGCCUCUAAAAACAGACAUUUUGGGAUCUUAUGAUCUGUAUGAAGCACUAGUGAUAAUAAAAGUGUUUUAGUGGCAUGUAGCUUUACUUGAUGCAUGUUUUUUAUAUUGACACUCUCUCAGUUUUAGUUACCCUUAGCAAGUUAUAGGUUGAAUAGAUUUCACACCUAUUACGCAUGGUAAAAAAGCAUGCUUUUUCUCAUUUUUCUUCAAAAUAAAGUGCUGUAUUACAGUUUUAACAGUUUCUGAUAAGUAAUCAAACCUUCAGCAACAAUAUAAGCUAUAUAACUGCCCUGGAUCUGGCUUCAAGCUACACUUAAUCUAGCAGUCCUCUCAGUCAUAUUGCUCUAGUCUCAACGAGCCGGGGAAGGGGCAGAGUCUUACAAGGUUCGUCCGCACCUGCUUUCAUUAAUUUGAAUGAGAUCACGUGAUCUGUUUCCUAUCCCUGUUACUUAGUAAUACAAUCUAUGGCUAUAGCGAGCUAGCUAGACUAUCUAUGGGUGGGGUUAGUAUGCACGUACAUGUGUACAUGUUCAUGUAAUAUACAAGCUAAAGCUAUAUGAUACAUGUAGGUACACAUGUACAUGUACAUGUAGUUGUUACUUACAACAUUUGUGUAUACUUAAGCCAUGUUUGUCUAUCUGACACUGUGCUUUUGAUAUUUUAGCUGAACAAGUGAAUUGUACACAGUCAGUGUACAUGUAUAUACAUGUACAUGUGUUACGCAAACAGUGACAGUGUGUUUUCAAUAUGCAUGGUAAUGACAUUAAGUUUGUUUAAACUAUUAUACGUGUGCAUAUACAGCUACAUGUAAAUAAUGUAACGUACUGUACAUGUACAUGUACUUGACCCAAUGUCUAUUGUAGCAGAUUAAAAGCAUGACAUGUUUCUCAAUUCCACUAGUUUUCCUUACCACCAGCACAUGGUAUGAUUCACUUUGUUAGGUAACAAUAUCAGUCCAUCUGCCAGAACCUCUUGCCAAAUACUAGAAACUAUGGAAGUGCCAAUGUAGUCACUACGCUGUAUUAGUAAUUUAGUAGUGUAAACUGUGAACCAAUUACUACUUAAUGUACGAACAUGUACAUGUACAUGUACAUGUAUAUUUUUCUUGUAGCGGGAGCAGUGAUGAAGAGUCUGAUGAGGGUUCCAGCAGUCGGAUCAAGGAAAUUCAAAAACGAAAAACUCGCGAGUUUUUUGAAGCCGAAUUUAGAAAAAGAAGGAGAGAGACGACCAGUCCUGAAGUAGAAGAACUACCUAGUCCUGAUAGUAAUAUUAGAGAUCCUAGUCUAACCAAGAGAGUGUCUAAAUUGACGAUUAAAUGUGUUGCUAUAGCUCUUCUUCAGAAAGCAAGCCUUGAUUGCAUAGUUGAGACAUGAUGCUUUUGCUGUUAUUUAUAAUGUGGCUUAGAGAAGCGAGAGCUAACUUGAUAGCGCGGGCAGCUCUUCCUCGUAGACCAUUGCAAGAGACAACCAGAGGAGCACGUCGAGCUGCAGCCAUCAUCGCUGGAGAUAUAGUCUGGUAUAAGAAUGAUGAAGACGAUCAUUGCAAGCUUUUGGUGGAGCCUGACCAAGAAGUGGGAACAAGUUACUUUUACAAAAAAGGAGAAAUGGUUGUGGCGAUUCAUUGCAAAGUACCCAAAAACUGUGUUGUGUGACUCAGUGCCAUUUAUACCAUGUACUUACACUUAUUUGUAUGAAUACCAUAUUGUAUAAGUUUUUUCUCUGCAUCAGUGUAUUGUUGAUUUUGUUCGUCAUUUGUUGUCUGGUCAAUAAUGUA
rnacentral:lncRNA from 1 species